CCUUAGUAACUGCGAGUGAAGAGGGAAAAGCUCAAAUUUAGAAUCUGGCAGUGUUUCACUGUCCGAGUUGUAACCUAGAGAAGUGUAACCUGCACUGGACCGUGUACAAGUCUCCUGGAAUGGAGCAUCAUAGAGGGUGAGAAUCCCGUCUUUGACAUGGACUGCCAGUGCAUUGUGGUUGUGCUCUCAACGAGUCGAGUUGUUUGGGAAUGCAGCUCUAAAUGGGUGGUAAAUUCCAUCUAAAGCUAAAUAUUGGCGAGAGACCGAUAGCGAACAAGUACCGUGAGGGAAAGAUGAAAAGAACUUUGGAAAGAGAGUUAAACAGUAUGUGAAAUUGUUGAAAGGGAAACGUUUGAAGUCAGUCGCGUUGGCUGGGGAUCAACCUGACAUUUUUGUUGGGUGUACUUCCUGGUUGACGGGUCAACAUCAGUUUUGACUGCCAGAAAAAGGCCAAGGGAAUGUGGCACCUUUGGGUGUGUUAUAGCUCUUGGUCGUAUAUGGUGGUUGGGACUGAGGAAAGCAGUGUGCCGAAAGGCCGGGUUUCGACCACGUUCGCACUGAGGAUGUUGGCAUAAUGGCUUUAAGCGACCCGUCUUGAAACACGGACCAAGGAGUCUAACAUGCAUGCGAGUGUUUGGGUGGAAAACCCUUACGCGUAAUGAAAGUGAAAGUUGAGAUCCCUGUCGUGGGGA
rnacentral:rRNA from 1 species